rnacentral:rRNA from 3 species
UUUAUGGAGAGUUUGAUCCUGGCUCAGGAUGAACGCUGGCGGCGUGCCUAAUACAUGCAAGUCGAGCGAACGGACGAGAAGCUUGCUUCUCUGAUGUUAGCGGCGGACGGGUGAGUAACACGUGGAUAACCUACCUAUAAGACUGGGAUAACUUCGGGAAACCGGAGCUAAUACCGGAUAAUAUUUUGAACCGCAUGGUUCAAAAGUGAAAGACGGUCUUACUGUCACUUAUAGAUGGAUCCGCGCUGCAUUAGCUAGUUGGUAAGGUAACGGCUUACCAAGGCAACGAUGCAUAGCCGACCUGAGAGGGUGAUCGGCCACACUGGAACUGAGACACGGUCCAGACUCCUACGGGAGGCAGCAGUAGGGAAUCUUCCGCAAUGGGCGAAAGCCUGACGGAGCAACGCCGCGUGAGUGAUGAAGGUCUUCGGAUCGUAAAACUCUGUUAUUAGGGAAGAACAUAUGUGUAAGUAACUGUGCACAUCUUGACGGUACCUAAUCAGAAAGCCACGGCUAACUACGUGCCAGCAGCCGCGGUAAUACGUAGGUGGCAAGCGUUAUCCGGAAUUAUUGGGCGUAAAGCGCGCGUAGGCGGUUUUUUAAGUCUGAUGUGAAAGCCCACGGCUCAACCGUGGAGGGUCAUUGGAAACUGGAAAACUUGAGUGCAGAAGAGGAAAGUGGAAUUCCAUGUGUAGCGGUGAAAUGCGCAGAGAUAUGGAGGAACACCAGUGGCGAAGGCGACUUUCUGGUCUGUAACUGACGCUGAUGUGCGAAAGCGUGGGGAUCAAACAGGAUUAGAUACCCUGGUAGUCCACGCCGUAAACGAUGAGUGCUAAGUGUUAGGGGGUUUCCGCCCCUUAGUGCUGCAGCUAACGCAUUAAGCACUCCGCCUGGGGAGUACGACCGCAAGGUUGAAACUCAAAGGAAUUGACGGGGACCCGCACAAGCGGUGGAGCAUGUGGUUUAAUUCGAAGCAACGCGAAGAACCUUACCAAAUCUUGACAUCCUUUGACAACUCUAGAGAUAGAGCUUUCCCCUUCGGGGGACAAAGUGACAGGUGGUGCAUGGUUGUCGUCAGCUCGUGUCGUGAGAUGUUGGGUUAAGUCCCGCAACGAGCGCAACCCUUAAGCUUAGUUGCCAUCAUUAAGUUGGGCACUCUAAGUUGACUGCCGGUGACAAACCGGAGGAAGGUGGGGAUGACGUCAAAUCAUCAUGCCCCUUAUGAUUUGGGCUACACACGUGCUACAAUGGACAAUACAAAGGGCAGCGAAACCGCGAGGUCAAGCAAAUCCCAUAAAGUUGUUCUCAGUUCGGAUUGUAGUCUGCAACUCGACUACAUGAAGCUGGAAUCGCUAGUAAUCGUAGAUCAGCAUGCUACGGUGAAUACGUUCCCGGGUCUUGUACACACCGCCCGUCACACCACGAGAGUUUGUAACACCCGAAGCCGGUGGAGUAACCUUUUAGGAGCUAGCCGUCGAAGGUGGGACAAAUGAUUGGGGUGAAGUCGUAACAAGGUAGCCGUAUCGGAAGGUGCGGCUGGAUCACCUCCUUU